UACGUAGGUGGCAAGCGUUGUCCGGAUUUACUGGGCGUAAAGAGCGCGCAGGCGGCUGAUUAAGUCGAAUGUGAAAGCCCCCGGCUCAACUGGGGAGGGUCAUUCGAUACUGAUCAACUUGAAGGCAGGAGAGAGAAGUGGAAUUCCUGGUGUAGCGGUGGAAUGCGCAGAUAUCAGGAGGAACACCGGUGGCGAAGGCGGGUCUCUGGGCAGUAACUGACGCUGAGGAGCGAAAGCGUGGGGAGCGAACAGG
rnacentral:rRNA from 1 species